rnacentral:rRNA from 1 species
AUACAGAGGGUGCAAACGUUGUUCGGAAUCACUGGGCUUAAAGCGCGCGUAGGCGGCGACAUCAGUGUCUUGUGAAAGCCCCCGGCUCAACCGGGGAACUGCAGGACAUACUGUGUUGCUAGAGUACGAGAGGGGAGAGGAGAACUCCUGGUGGAGCGGUGGAAUGCGUAGAUAUCAGGAGGAAUGCCGAAGGUGAAGACACCUCUCUGGCUCGUAACUGACGCUAAGGCGCGAAAGCUAAGGUAACGAACGGGAUUAGAAACCCCUGUAGUCC